GUGUCAGCAGCCGCGGUAAUACGUAGGCAGCAAGCGUUGUUCGGAAUUACUGGGCGUAAAGAGUGUGUAGGCGGUGCUCUAAGUUUGGUGUGAAAUCUCCCGGCUCAACUGGGAGGGUGCGCCGAAGACUGGAGUGCUCGAGGGAUGGAGAGGUAAGCGGAAUUCCUGGUGUAGCGGUGAAAUGCGUAGAUAUCAGGAGGAACACCUGUGGUGUAGACAGCUUACUGGACAUCUUCUGACGCUGAGACACGAAAGCGUGGGUAGCAAACAGGAUUAGAAACCCGCGUAGUCC
rnacentral:rRNA from 1 species